ACACAGCUAUACUCAAUGCUUGCGCUUUUACAGCGCUGAAGACCGUGUGGCUAGCUAGCAGAUUACUUGACCACUGACUAGGCUAUGCACAAAUGUGGAUGGCACAGGUUAGAACCUUAAAGGAAUAGGCUACUCAAAUACAUUUUUGAAAAGGUAGGCUGCAUAUGCAAGAUUGGGGUGUGAAGCGGAUGUGUGAGAGCGGGAGUAAGUGCAUAAUAAACUCCCUGUGAGAGCGAGAGGAUGUGAGAGGGUGGGAAAGUGUGAAGGCCUAUGUGUGUAAUGUUAUCUGAACAGUACAGAUGGUUAGUGUUUUCAUAACAUUGUUGGACAAGAUCUUUGUAUCCAGAGCCAGUUCUAUUUUUCUUUUGUCACACUCAUUUAGAAUGCCUGAAGCUUUAACAUAACUUAAAGCUGUGUGUGUGUGUGUUGUGCUUAAGUGUUAAAUUUCAAUAACAUAGAUAAGAGGGAGUAGGCCUACCUAAACAUUGGGAGCAUUAAUAGCUGUAGUGAAUUGUGUUGUUUAAUGAAUGCUGAUUGGCCGACAGCUGUGGUAUAUCAAGGGUAUGACAAAACAUGUAUUUUUACUGCUCUAAUUUGUAACCUGUUUAUAAUAACAAUAAGACACGGGGGUUUGUGGUAUAUGGCCUCCGCGUUGUUUUGUGCGUAAGAACAGCUCUUAGCCGUGGUAUAUUGGCUAUAUACCACACCCCCUCGUGCAUUAUUGCUUAAUUAAAACAUUCGGAUGUAGAUUAUUUGAGUUUCAAAGCAGUAUAACUCAAUGUACUGCUUUGGCCCAAUUUGAGUAAAUAAAGAAAUUGUGAUUAACUAAUGCCAUUAACUCAUUUAAAUAUUUGGGCCCUGGUCAAAAGUUUUGCACUAUAGAGGGAACAGGGUGCAAUUUUGGAAGCAACCUAGCUGUUAUGAUGGCUGUUCAAAGAUCUACAGGGUAGAGAGACGGGAGUGUAUUCACACACCACAGACUCUAGUAGGAGUGGGAGCUGAGCCAGGGAUUGAGCCAAUGACCUUGCUGAUUAGAAUGGUCAGUCAAAUAGACUCCUGUGGCUUACAGUGAGUUGAUACAGUAUAUGAUUUAUACAGUGGGGCAAAAAAGUAUUUAGUCAGCCACCAAUUGUGCAAGGCCUGUAAUUUUCAUCAUAGGUACACUUCAACUAUGACAGACAAAAUGAGGGGGAAAAAAUCCAGAAAAUCACAUUGUAGGAUUUUGAAUGAAUUUAUUUGCAAAUUAUGGUGGAAUAUAAGUAUUUGGUCACCUACAAACAAGCAAGAUUUCUGGCUCUCACAGACCUGUAACUUCUUCUUUAAGAGGCUCCUCUGUCCUCCACUCGUUACCUGUAUUAAUGGCACCUGUUUGAACUUAUCGGUAUAAAAGACACCUGUCCACAACCUCAAACAGUCACACUCCAAACUCCACUAUGGCCAAGACCAAAGAGCUGUCAAAGGACACCAGAAACAAAAUUGUAGACCUGCACCAGGCUGGGAAGACUGAAUCUGCAAUAGGUAAGCAGCUUGGUUUGAAGAAAUCAACUGUGGGAGCAAUUAUUAGGAAAUGGAAGACAUACAAGAGCACUGAUAAUCUCCCUCGAUCUGGGGCUCCACGCAAGAUCUCACCCCGUGGGGUCAAAAUGAUCACAAGAACGGUGAGCAAAAAUCCCAGAACCACACGGGGGGACCUAGUGAAUGACCUGCAGAGAGCUGGGACCAAAGUAACAAAGCCUACCAUCAGCAAGGGCAUUGAAGAUGAAACAUGACUGGGUCUUUCAGCAUGACAAUGAUCCCAAACACACCGCCCGGGCAACGAAGGAGUGGCUUCGUAAGAAGCAUUUCAAGGUCCUGGAGUGGCCUAGCCAGUCUACAGAUCUCAACCCCAAAGAAAAUCUUUGGAGGGUGUUGAAAGUCCUUGUUGCCCGGCAACAGCCCCAAAACAUCACUGCUCUAGAGGAGAUCUGCAUGGAGGAAUGGGCCAAAAUACCAGCAACAGUGUGUGAAAACCUUGUGAAGACUUACAGAAAACGUUUGACCUCUGUCAUUGCCAACAAAGGGUAUUUAACAAAGUAUUGAGAUAAACUUUUGUUAUUGACCAAAUACUUAUUUUCCACCAUCAUUUGCAAAUAAAUUCAUUAAAAAUCCUACAAUGUGAUUUUCUGGAUUUGUUUUUCUCAUUUUGUCUGUCAUAGUUGAAGUGUACCUAUGAUGAACAUUACAGGCCUCUCAUCUUUUUAAGUGGGAGAACUUGCACAAUUGGUGGCUGACUAAAUACUUUUUUGACCCACUGUAUAUAGGAGUUGUUUUGUAGUUAUUUUUCGGACAAUAUUUUUGGGGGAAUGCUUUUUUUUUUCUUCAGGAAAAAAAAACAAGGAAGAUAUCGCAUGGCUUGAUACAAAUGAACAUGAGAAAUACCCAUGGAUCCAUUCAGCAAUACAAUGUCCUUGACCACAAAUAGCCUAAUUCCCAUUGCUCUUACUUACAUAAGGUGGACUCUUGACAGGCUGUAAUAAAUAAAAACAUCCCUGGUUGUGAAGAGAGCAACAUGCAGGGCCAUAGUAAACAGCAGACCUGUGUUCAAAAAGUAUUUGAAAUCGUUCAAAUACUUUAUCUGUGCGAGAUUGAGUUGUCUGGCGCAAUGGAACCAAUGGACUUGUCUCAAGAACAAACCCUGUCCCUGUGGCAUAAAGGCAGGCUCAAUAAAGAAUGAAGUACUUGAAAGGAAACAAAUACUGUUUGAAACCAUUUCUGGUAAGCAGAGUAGUCUCUUACCAUGUAGGAGGGGAAGAUGAGGACUCUCUUGUGCUUCCCACACGGCCACUGGGGAUCGUCCAACAGAUUGGGGUCAUACUCCCGGAUCAAGUCCCCCAGAUCAUUCCCUGCAGAGGACAAAAGGACAGUCCCGGGACCACCUGGGCUCUCUCCAGGACGGAGGAUCCACACACUGGCCUGUAUGAAUGCCACAACUACUCCAGAGAAUCCACUCACUCACAUGACUGACCUGUGUCGAUGCUGCUCUGAUUGCUGUUGGCCCGGCCCAAGCUGAGGCUGCGGUGGCUGGCGUUACGAGACUGAGCGAUGGAUGAAGUGGAGUCGAUGGUGUUCCUGCGUCCGCUGCCCAGGGCGUUGGUGGGGUACAGGAACUGAGUGUAUGAUACAGUCUGUGGAGAGAGACAUACUCACAUUUUAACAGCAUGUUAUUGGACCACUGUCUGCGCUGUUUAGACCGCUGUUACAUACUCCAAAAAUCCUUCCCUAUUCUCUUCCUUGAGGUGAUAACUGAUCUGUAGUAAAGUAGGGAGGAAAGGAUAUGUCUCCCAUCCUCUCUCACCUUUCCAUAGGCCCCCAGCUCCACUCCCUCCAGCCCGAUCACCAUCUCCUUGGCACUGACCCCGCCCGAGGGGUGACGCUGCCGCCCGCUUUCCAGUUUCACAUCCCUGCCGGGGCACAAAACCUUUAGACACCCCUUCCCCUAAAACCCACACCCCCUGCCAAACAGUCUUCUGUCUAGGGUCUAGACUCCACCUCAGCAUCUCUCUCACCAUCUAUCACACAGAAAAUAAAUGGAAGCUCUAAAAAAGGAAUGUGGAAUUAGACCAGGUAGAGAAGCUAUCAUUCCAUGUUCCCAGAAUUCCACAGUGCCAUAAUGCCCCAGAUAGGACUGAGCUAAUUAACAAAGCAAUUGAAUCACCCAGUUAUUAUAAACACUGGGGUAAAUCAACAAAAACACUAAUUGGGGCAAGAAAGGAAAACAUUCCAGGAAAAAGUCCUAAAAGACAGAAGCUUGGGCUUGUGGACAUCAUUUAGAUAAUUGUUAUUUUAGGCCUAUAUGGUACUGAGUAUAAGACAGGGCAUGGGAUUUUAGCUUGGUCAGUUCUCUACAUAGUCAAAGUGCAUUUUGCUGCAAUGACACUCAGCCAAGCAAUCUCAACCGCCAAUUAGCAGCAUUGGGCAGUCAGGAAUGAGGCUAUUGAAUACAUUAGGGGAUUCAUUAGCUCUUUAACCCUUCGUUGUAGGGUUAGGCUUAGGAAGAUUAGGCUGCAUAAAUUACCCUGUUCUGCUCCUCACUAAGCCCACUAAAUGGUGCUUUCUUUCUCUCUGUCCAUUGUAUUCUCUGUGUUAAUCAGUCAUUUUUCUUUCUCACUUCCUCCAAAACAACCUAUUUCAUUGGGAGGCACCAGGACCCAGGUCAAACCAACACUGCCUCUUUCCCCAGGCAGGCAGGCCAGGUGGGAAGCUAUAUAACAGACCAGAAAGAGUUCAAGACUACCGUGGAUCCCCAUAACACGAAGGAGUCUGAACCUCGUGUUGCAAUAAGAAAAAACAACAGUCUGACUACUGGUAAGCCAGGCUCUCUUCCAAGGGCCAAGAAAUAUAAUCUCUAACCGCACAGGGAGAACAAUAUGAACAACAACAAACUGAAAUGUCAUGUGUAAACUCCAAACAGAAACUACAUAAUGCUCUGUUAUGGUUAUGGAGGGAUCAUUUGGGACCACUCUGAAAUGUAAGUGUAUGUUAUGCAAUCGCAGCAAAGCGCAUGCAAAGUUAAGUUAAAGUGCUGAGAUAAAAACAUGCUACGGAAUCUUUGAGGGCAGCAACGAAUUGAGGAAAAGUGCAGCCUAAAUGAUAACAGCAAAGCCAGAGACGGUUGCAAUGGGCAAAACGAAGUCGUAUUAGAAUGAAUCUAAACAACCUCAUGUCUUCCAAAGACAAAUAGUCUAGAUACAGCAGACUACAGGCCUACAUGGAAACAUAGUGACAUGGAUACAAUCCUUAAAAUGGGUGUGAUUCAUUACUUUUAAAUUAAUUAAUUCAGUAGAUUACUUGUUCACCUCUCUUGCAAACAUUUAUUUUGUUGUAGUAAAAAAGCAUCCACCAAAACCAACCCGUCUAGAACACUGUUCAUUGUAAUAAUGUUAUCCCCGUCCCAAUGUAAUAAAGUACUAGUUAUAUAUCGGCAGAAACAAAAGGGAUGUGAGAACGGGGGAAAGCAGGGAACGAAGGAUGGAAAAAUGGAGGUUGGCAUGCUGUAGGAUACAUACCCUGCUUGGCUACAAUCUCGAUAGGGCAGGACAGAAAAUACACUAUACAAGGAUCUUCUGCCACUGAUUAGGACUAUCCUAUAAAAACAAAAUGAACUAGGUGAAAAAGACACUCAGAUUUACAGAUUAAGAUGGAGGAAAAAGUGAGCAGUAAAACAAUCAAGAUUUAGAAAACUAAAUGAAAUACUGUUUUUUUUUAUGUGUUCUGUGAAUGUAUUAUGGAGUAUGUAAUAUGUAGUCAGAGGUUUGGGAACAAAAUUAUGCAGAUCUUUUCAAAUGAUACUAGCCAUGUCUUGCUUUGGAGACUAAACAAGACCAAACUUGUUUAUCGUACAAUAUCAGAAUAGCAGCUGCACGCGAGGUAAAAACCUAUAGUACAGUCAAAUUGAACCACUCCUCAGUGGUUUGCAUAACUGCUGCUACAAUUCAUUGAGAAAUUGCUUCAUAAAACUUUGUCACUGAUUUAUACUUUUUGAGUUAUGACAUAAAACAGGCCUACUCACUGAUCAAUAUCAACGUCACAGGCAGAAUGGGAUGUAUGGCAAUUCAUUACUGCUGUAUAUGGCACACUGAUUAGCUAGAUAAGAGUAAAUAAAAACCGCAACUGCAUAGAGAUUGAAUGUAAAGCACAACAGUUGCUGUCCCAAUUCAACCACCUAGAAUCCAGAAAUAAGCUUUAUUAAAAGCUACUAUUGAAGGCAGAAUGUAUCAGCACACUCCUUUUUCUUCCUGGGCCAAAAGAAAGGCUUUGCACCCAUUCAGAUACCUGUCAAGACAGAUAUAUAACAAUUCAUCAAAAUAAAUAGGUCCGGUACACACCCAAGUGUAAAAGAAGCUUGAGGAUUGUAAGUUCAAAACAUCCAGAAUUAAAAAUUUAAAAAAGAUAGUUGAAUAAUCUGUGUAAUACAAAAUCAAGUGCUGUGGAAAUAGUUUAACUGUCCAAUUUCUUUUAGAUUCCAGGAAAUAUCCAUAAAAGCCUAUAGUAUUUAUUACUGAGAGAAGCUGCUGUACACUAGCUACAUACAGUAUCACUGUGUUAUAUAUCAAAUAAGUCAUUAACAUCUGUGUGACCAAAUUUCUUCAGUGCUCUGGAAUAUCUAAGUGAAAGUGCAUGUAUCAUUGUUUAUAAAAGUGAGAUAGUG